UACGUAGGGUCCGAGCGUUGUCCGGAAUUAUUGGGCGUAAAGAGCUCGUAGGCGGUUUGUCGCGUCUGCUGUGAAAUCCCGAGGCUCAACCUCGGGCCUGCAGUGGGUACGGGCAGACUGGAGUGCGGUAGGGGAGAAUGGAAUUCCUGGUGUAGCGGUGGCAUGCGCAGAUAUCAGGAGGAACACCGAUGGCGAAGGCAGUUCUCUGGGCCGUAACUGACGCUGAGGAGCGAAAGCGUGGGGAGCGAACAGG
rnacentral:rRNA from 1 species